UGUGGCUUAAUUUGACUCAACGCGGGAAAUCUUACCGGGUCCGGACACACUGAGGAUUGACAGGCAAUAUCUCAUGUUAACGGUAAGUUUACUUACCGCUUAACAUCGAGUGUUAAAUAUGCUAGUCCUUUCAUGAUUAUGUGAUAGGUGGUGCAUGGCCGUUCUUAGUUCGUGGAGUGAUCUGUCUGCUUAAUUGCGUUUCACUAAGGGCCCAUAAAUUCAAGGUAUGUUAGCUCUCGUCGCUCUAUGGACCCCUUAACUCCAAUAUUCUUAUUGUGUUAAGCGCGUGUCUUUAUUUUAAGAGUUUUAAGACACUGCGCAUGCUGUUGGGCUCUGAAAGCAACGAACGUGACCGCAACGUCUUGUUGCCUUAAACUAGCGUAUAUUGCAAUUUAUUGCAAUAUCGCUUACAGAGGCUAUUUAAAACUAGACGGACCGCUGUUUCUUUCUUAAACCA
rnacentral:rRNA from 1 species